rnacentral:rRNA from 1 species
CGGGUGAGUAACGCGUAAAGAACUUGCCUCAUAGUCUGGGACAACAUUUGGAAACGGAUGCUAAUACCGGAUAUUAUGCUUUCUUCGCAUGGAGGAAGUAUGAAAGCUAUAUGCGCUAUGAGAGAGCUUUGCGUCCCAUUAGCUAGUUGGUGAGGUAACGGCCCACCAAGGCGAUGAUGGGUAGCCGGCCUGAGAGGGUGAACGGCCACAAGGGGACUGAGACACGGCCCUUACUCCUACGGGAGGCAGCAGCC